UGUUGCAUCAUGGUCUCAGUUUAGCUACAUCUCGAGACAGAUGAUCCAAACCACAGGCUGCUUCAGGCAGAAGGAAGAUGAAGGUCUAACCUCGCUGUUAGUGGCCUGGAAGCAGUUUUCCUUUUGAUACCGACAAGCUACACAGUUGCUAACGUCACUGUAACGCUACUGCUUUCAAAGUAGCCUUUUCUUAAGCUAGCUGGCCUUUAAUAAGUCCGAACAUGUUUCCCCAAGAGGCUCUAAAGAGGAAAUAAUGGCUGCGUAGCUGCUAACAAGUGUCACCUGCUGAGGAUGACUGCUCCACUUCACCAAGCGACAAAGCCCUCCGGUGACCGUCGUGUGAGCAAAGGAAGAGGUGGAGGUGGAUGUGUGGGUGGACAAGAUCUGUGUCUUUGCCUCGGGAACCCCUGGCCCUGCUGUUCGUCUGUUUCUUACCAACAUUUAAUGUUGGUUUGUUUGAACGAUGACCAUGAUUGUUCUCUAAUCUAAACCAAGUGGUUGAUUUAAUUUGAAUUUCUUUUUAACUUGAAAUCAAAUUAACUUUAAUUUCAAGUUUCCCCUCACCACACGCAUAAAGUCAUGCAUGCGCCUGGACCAAUGGAACUUUAACUACAGUGUUGUUACAUCAUAAAACAGAUUUACUCUGUUGGAAGGCACAGACAAGUGGAUGCCAAACUUCUGAUGGGGUGUAAAUCUGCGGAGCUGUUUCAAAUAUCUUCGGUCAUUGAACUUGGAAUUUAAAGUCUUGUCCCUUGGGAGGAAAAUAUCAAAUUGUGUUAUGUUGUUAUAGACCCAUAAAGUCCACUUAGGGUAAAAGGUCAGGGAGUUUGAUGGGUCCGCAAAACUUUGGACUUCUUGUUUUCCAAUGUAAGUCAUGGUUAUUUUAGUUUUUUAAGCAUGAUCACAAUAAUUCUGUAGCCAAACAAACUUGUUUUUGUGCAAACCCAACCAAUCGAGAACAGAAAAUAUGUUGUCCGGGUCAGCCGUUACACACCACGUGUUCUGUGAUACAGUCUUGUUCCUGGAAAACCCCUUUGACGAAGCCAACAUGUUCUUCCUUUACAAAAAUGUCCUCGCUCUCAUGAUCUAAAACUCAAAUAUGAGAAAGAAAGAAAGAUGAACGUACUAGAGAUGGCACACAUAAUGUACACUUACAUCUCUCUCAUCUCUAGCGCUCUAUGUAAUGGAAAAGUCUUUAAGUCCACCUUUGCUUUUGAUCAGCACCUCAUAAUCACUACAAAGGACUUUUCAAUUCAUAUUAUGACAUAAUACAAGGCUCCUUUAAACCAUGGUGAACUGAGAAAUGAUACUCAUGCAGUGUUGUGCCAUGGUCAUCUAUCCAUGUUAAAAUGUCAGAUUCUCAUUAUAUUUAUGCGGCAGCAAAGCCUUAACACUGUAUAAACAGAGAGACUUGGAUAAACUUGCAUACAACAUGACACACAAUGCCAAGUAAACCCAUUCAUUCAAACAUAGGAACAAACAGACAUAAACGUACAACCACUCAACACGCGCACAUUCACACAAAAGCCUGGGACGCGAAUAACCAUCUGGCUUCUGUUUCCCUGCACUGUGUGAUUUACACGCUGAGGCAGAAGCCUGAAACUCUAGCUUGACGUUGCACAGUGUGCUGCUCCAAUCAGGGCCUCCAUCUUCUGUUUAUGGAUCGCAGCUACCAGCUGUUAAGCACUUCCACUUGAACUGUAGUCAUUUCCUGGCAUAGACGGAGGAGGCCAGCUAGUCAGAGGUUCACAUUUUGACCCGAGAGGAACGAGGAAUGCUCGAUUCAGAGUUCAGUGGUGACAGGAGUUUCACCUAAAGAGUCGGGCAACGAUGUGAGGAAAUACAGUUAACCUUACAUAAAGUGUAGCAUUUCAGUUUUGGGUGAUCUUUCAGCGAAUGUGCUGUAUUUAAUGUUGAACUUGCAGCUUUUUCUUCUGGUCAAGGGCUAGGGGGAAUCCAAUAUUUCACAAAGGAAAGCUGAGAGGAGGAGAAUGAGAAAUACAUUUCCAAGCUGAAACUGUGGUGUUUUCUCUGAUGCAGUAUGUGAUUGGAUUAUUGUGAUUAAAAGUAAAUAUAUCCAACAGCUUAUUGCCAAAAUAUAUUAACAUUUCAAUUACUUAUAUAUGGUAUUCCAACACUACUACAAACUGGAAAGACUAACAACGUUGAAAUAAAUCUUCUCUGACACAUUGA